GACGAACGCUGGCGGCGUGCUUAACGCGUGCAAGUCGAACGGAAAGGCCUGCUUUCCCUUGUGGAUUGCGGGUACUCGAGUGGCGAACGGGUGAGUAACACGUGAGUGAUCUGCCCCCAACUUGGGUAUAAGCCUGGGAAACUGGGUCUAAUUCCCGAUAGGACUGCAGGGUGGUGCCUGUGGUGGAAAACGAUUUUCUAGUGGUUGGGGAUGAGCUCGCGGCCUAUCAGCUUGUUGGUGGGGUAAUGGCCUACCAAGGCGGCGACGGGUAGCCGGCCUGAGAGGGUGGACGGCCACAUUGGGACUGAGAUACGGCCCAGACUCCUACGGGAGGCAGCAGUGGGGAAUAUUGCACAAUGGGCGGAAGCCUGAUGCAGCGACGCCGCGUGGGGGAUGACGGCCUUCGGGUUGUAAACUCCUUUCGACCGCGAGGAAGCCACCUGGUUGGAAGGGUGGUGACGGUAGUGGUAGAAGAAGCACCGGCUAACUACGU
rnacentral:rRNA from 1 species